rnacentral:rRNA from 1 species
CCUACGGGAGGCAGCAGUGAGGAAUAUUGGUCAAUGGGCGCUAGCCUGAACCAGCCAAGUAGCGUGAAGGAUGACGGCCCUAUGGGUUGUAAACUUCUUUUAUCUGGGAAUAAAGUGCACUACGUGUACCGCUUUGCAUGUACCUUAAGAAUAAGGAUCGGCUAACUCCGUGCCAGCAGCCGCGGUAAUACGGAGGAUCCGAGCGUUAUCCGGAUUUAUUGGGUUUAAAGGGAGCGUAGGCGGGAGGUUAAGUCAGGGGUGAAAUUGUGCGGGUCAACCCUAAAAUUGCAGUUGAUACUGGUAUUCUUGAGUACAGUAGAGGUAGGCGGAAUGCGUGGUGUAGCGGUGAAAUGCUUAGAUAUCACGAAGAACUCCGAUUGCGAAGGCAGCAUACUGGACUGUAACUGACGCUGAUGCACGAAAGUGUGGGUAUCAAACAGGAUUAGAUACCCGGGUAGUC